rnacentral:lncRNA from 1 species
GUAUUUGCUUUGAAAUAUGUCUUAUGUUUAUUUUUUUCCUGGUGGGGGUAUGCUUUGAUGUAAUUUUAUGAACCAUUUCAAAGGUCAAUUCAAUUUUGGCUGAACGACUGGCCUCCUAUUUUGUUAUACCCUUCCUUAAAGAACACUGGUUCUUUUUGUAACAGCAGCAACUAGUUAGACCUACUCUACAAAAUUUGGAGUUGACUCCACGCAUCUUUUUUCACCACUAUGUUGAAUCAUGCUUGCAUCAUCAAAGAUCUACUAAGAUUAGCCUUCUGCAAUGACUAUAGCUCUAAAUUCUCUCUCCCUCUCUCUCUCUCUCUCUCACACACACACACACACUUGAUUUGUACUGUGACAUUGCUGCUCUUGUUGAUGGAAGCUGCUUUAGUUCUAUGCAAAAUAUGCCUCAGGCCCUCAGCCACCUAAAUUCCAUUCCACUUAGUGACUUACAUUCUAAUUUCUUAUUAUAUCCAUUUUAGUAUGUCCGUAUUUUAUCUUAGCAUUUCUUAUUGCUGCUAAGUCCAUCUUGCUGACAUUAUGCCUUUUAAGAGCCCAACAAUUUUUUUCCUUUUAUGGUCUAUUUGUUAGUCCCGCAGCAUAAUGUUCUAAUUGUUUAUCUAGAGAUCUUGCUUUUAACUUAAUAGGCAUCUUUCAAUCACAUAAAAUCCUUUCUCCAUUUUGUCAUAAAUGGUUCUAGUCUAUUCAUUACAUUGUUUUUAAGUCCUCAUUCAUUAAUAAUAAUUAAACCUAAUUACCAUAAACAAUCUCUCUUUGUAGUGACUACACUAUCAUCUUUGUUCCUACUGUUUCUAAACACAUUUUGGGUGAUGUCGAUUUUUUUGGAGAAUAUAUUUUGCGAAAGGUUCUUUAUUUAUUUAUUAUUAUUUUUUUUUGGGAGAAUGUGGGAAAAGUUACAAAUCCACCUGAAAAAUUAUUUUAUUGGGAUAAUAUGCGGGUCAAAAAUGAGUUUGAGGAAAAUGAGUUUUUAAAGAAU